rnacentral:rRNA from 1 species
UACGGAGGAUGCAAGCGUUAUCCGGAUUCAUUGGGUUUAAAGGGUGCGUAGGCGGACUAUUAAGUCAGUGGUGAAAGCCUGCAGCUUAACUGCAGAACUGCCAUUGAUACUGAUAGUCUUGAGUUUGGUUAAGGUAGGCGGAAUGUGUAAUGUAGCGGUGAAAUGCUUAGAUAUUACACAGAACACCAAUUGCGUAGGCAGCUUACUGAGCCGACACUGACGCUGAGGCACGAAAGCGUGGGGAGCAAACAGGA